GCCUGCAUGUGGACCUCUGGGACAGUGGCUUAGAGACUGUAUUUUAGAACAAGGAGACCCUAGAAUAUUAGAAUGUCAUGGCGCAGGGAGGCUGAACAACAGGCUCUGCCACCAGAUAGUUCCCCUGUUGAACCCUGGCCUCCCGCCUCUAGCUGAGCACCUUGGCCCAUUAUCCCACCUCCUCAUCUCUUCUGUCUGCUCCUGGGCAAAGGGAAUAGUGAUAGCACCUUCCUUCUGGGGUUGCUAUGGAGCUUAAUGAGUGACCAUGAUAUGAACUGUGAUUGGGGCAGAGCCUUGCUCAGGGUCAGAGCUGCAUGAUAACUAUUAUUAUUGACCCUAAUGUUCUUCCAGUCACAUACAAAAAUCUCAAAAUACAGCAGGGACAAGGCCCUGGCUCUCAGAGAGCUCCCAUCAAAGCCAGUGCCAAAUCCCGCCCUCCAAGGCCUCAUAAGAGAGAAUUGUCCUGAUGAAGCACUCCCACCCCUCUUCAUAGCUUAGUGAGGUUCAAGGUCUCUUGGAAUGAUGUCAGCCCUUGGAGCUGCGAGGUCUGGUGAGGUCAGGCAGGACUGGAGCCUUUGUUGAGCAGCGCAAUGAAGUCCUAUGUGUUUUCUGCAAAUGGGCCUAGCCUCUGUCCAUGUCCUUGGAGGACUCUGUGGCUGUGGCUUCCCAGGCCUCCCUGUUGACUGUGUCUAUUGAAAGGGUUCUUUGUACAAGGCCAUCUGGGAAAAGAAUGGCAGUUUGUGCCUCCCCAAGUGUUUGCCAGCAACACCCAGGCCCUGGGUGGGUGCAGGCCACCUCACCCACUGGGAACAUGCUGCUUAAUUCAGACCAGAUUCCUGAGCUCUCACGCAACACCCGUCUCACUGAUAUUAGGCUGUCCCCUCCCGAUAGUGUGUGACAGGAGGAGUUGUGGGGUUAGGAGCAGAGAAGCAUGGGUUCUGGCUCAAACUCCACCAUGUGGUGGCUGGAUGUCCUUUGAUCAAGUAACUUCACCUCUCUGUUCUGAGGCUUUUCAUUUAUAAAAUGUCCUUUCUGUUGCUCAGAGGUUCUAGACAGACGGUUCACACGGGAUAGGAAUAAAGGGGGCUAGACUUAGGUUGCGAGAGUUCAUGAUGAAUUAUUGAUCUAUGAUUAAAUUCUCAGUGCUGGUCAUUUCUGUGGGCAACCAAGUAGUCACCAAAGGGGUGGGGAAGACAGAAGAAGGAGGACCUUGACCUUGGGGCAUCUCUAUUCCCAUCCAGUUUAUUAGAGAAGCAGAGCACACAUUCCUGAGGGCAGAGAAAUAUACAAAUAUAGACUUCAAAGAAAACCACAAGCAUGGUUUAAAUAUACAUCUAUAAACACAUGAACAAUUUCCAAACUAACAACAGCUGGAAGUUCAAGUGCUCCAGAAUUCUGAAUUCUUCAAGUUUAGGAGAAGGUGCUUAAGGUUUUCUGGAGGAGGAAACAGUUCUUAACAAAAGAAAUGUAGAGAAAAGAGUUAGUGAGUCCUGGUGGUGGUGGUGGUGAGGGAGCUAGAGGCCAGGGCAACCUAAUUUGUAAUCAGCUGAAGGUAGACAGAUUUGAUAGUGGCUGGGAUAUGGGGAUGCUGAAGAACCAGCGAUGUGUGAGGGAUGGCUAAUAGUCGUUAAGGGGCAUGGACGAGUGGGCAGGCUCAUCAAGGAAUCACCAUCCUAGGAUCAGCUCAGGUGGUCUCAUGCCAUAAGUCAGUUUUCCAGGGAAAAAGGCUGAGACAGAGAUUUGCAUUCAGGAGGAUUUUUUUUGAGGAUGGCGUUUGGCAUUGCCAUUUCUGGGAGAUGGGGCAGACUGGGAGGUUGGGGGCAGAGCCUCCCUCUUUGGAAGGUACAGCAGAGGUCUCAGCUGAUCCCAUAGGAACUUUGCAGCUGGGAUGGCUGUUCCAAGAGGUUCCUGUCUGAGGCUGGAAGAAAGGACCUGCAAACCUCACUCCCAUACCACUGUCGAUCAGUUAGUGGGUAUGGAGUUAGACUUAGGGGAGACUGCUCCUUCUGUGGAAGGCAGUGCCUGGAGAGGGACAGGGCUGUGAAUUGUCAGGAGCCAUGGCUCCCAGCAGCUGUGGGAAUGCAUGCCUCCAUGCUGAAGGGGAGACUUAGGUGAUGCACCCCAGGAAACAUCCCUAGCAGUGUCUGAUGCCCCUGAUCAGGCCCUAAGACUAAUGCUAGCCCAUUAGAUUCUUCUAGGGCAAAUGUUUCUUUUCCUCAUACCCCUUUAUAGAAUAUUAGAUGUAGAAGUGAAUUUUUGAGACCCUUUCAUCCAAUGAUUCUCAGCCUAGGUGAAGAGACUUUUUCAAACCACCCUCAGGAGAUUUGAUGUGCAUCGACCUUCUGCCACCAAGACUCAACUAUCAGCUCCUUGAAGUUGGGGCUCCGUCUUACACAGUGUCACUACGACCACCUUCCCUUCGCAGACUGCUCCCUCGGCCUGAAAGUGUCCCUGCUUGGGACUUGUUUCUGCUUCUGGAUCCAGUUCAGUUAUGACUUCUUCCGGCCCUGUGGAACUGGUACCCCUCUUCUGCAUAAAUGAGUUAAUGUACCUAAGAUGAUUAUGGAAUGAACUGGAUUUGGGAGCCUCCCUCUGAAACGGAGAAUGCCUUCCAAGCACUGAGAGUGAAGGCUGGGUGGCCCUGUGACCCUGACAAGAGCCAAAGAAGACGGGGUUGGAGGUUGCCCAUUCAGGCUCUCUACCAGACUAACUGAAUCCGCAGAUGUACAUUCUCUGCCUUUGAUCACACUGUCUCUGUCAUAUCUCUUCUCCUCUGCCUCCUCUUUGUAAGUUCUGCUCAAUAUCAGACAUUUUCUAGGCCAAAUCUUUGAAAAGAUUAAGUUAUUUUUCCAUCUUUCUUCAAAGUUGGCUUUGAAUAAAACCCAUUUUCCUAUCAA